UUCACUUCCCUGGAAGAUGUGCAGUGUCCUGUAGAGCUGAGAGAUGAGGAUCCUUUUAAGGACGUGCUCCUGGAAUGGUUUAGCUCAGGCCCAGCACAGAUUUGUACCUGGAUUUCGACAGUGUGCAGUAUUAGGCACUGCAUGAUGAGGACUGUACAGAGAAAAAGAAGCAAGAUAAUCACUCCCAACAUUCAGUUCAAAGGUGCUGGACAAUAUGCUCAGUCUUAUCCUGUGCUGCUUUGUGGUCUUCUCUCUCCUGUGCCUGAAAUAAACACAGCAGUCCAUAAAAAGAAUGUACAAGGUUAGCAACUUGACAAGCUAUGGUUCAAGAGUACAGUAUUAAAAGAAGUGGGAAAUUGGCACAAGUAUUCAAUUGUGCCUUCUGUUUUUUAAUGUAAGAGAUAUUCCGGAACGGCACUCACACAAAGGUUGGAAGAUCGAGCGUUGAGUGAGCGUUGGUUGGACAUAAGGAUAAAAUCCGAAGCUUAAGACCUCAAGAACUAUUCAAAAUGGGCACAUCAGCAUUAGAAAGGUGGUUUUCAUGGGGGGUGGGGAGGAUGUGAAUUUGUUAGAACCUGGCUCCUAAUACACACCACAAAACGGAGAUAUAGAAAAGUGUUUAAAUCUAGAAUUUAAAUAAAUUACUCUUGAAUUCUUUUUCAGAGUUAGAAAUACCAGCUCUAAACUGGGUUUUUAUGCCGUUAUUUCCCUUCUGUAAACAGUGUGCGUUUCCGCUACAAAAAAGACAAACCACAAAAGGACCAAAAUUAUAGGAUUUACACUGGUAGCUAAACUACCCACUUGGCAAGAGUGAAUCUAUAUUUGAAAUGUAAAGUGAUUGUUUUUGUUGUUUUUUACCCUCCCAAACAAAGUAAACAAAGCAUUUUACUUGA